rnacentral:lncRNA from 1 species
CACUGCUGGAUCUGCUGUGUGGACUUGACCCUGACCAGGGAGCUCCAAAAACCGGUGAUGAUAACAUGAUGUAAUUGAGAGUGAAAGGAAGGCAACUGAGAGGAUAAGAGAACGUAAACAAGAGGCAAAUCUGAAUAAAAGCCAUCAUAAUGUAUGUUUGGCCAAGAGAUUGUGAUGUGGUCAAUAGAGAACUGGAGAUCCUUAAACACUUUUAAAGAAAGAAGGCAUGUGCCCUAUCUUAACUGUUGGAAAAGUUUCAGAAGAUGGGCAUAGGACUGAUAAAUGCAGCUGGCAAAAGUCUACCACAUUUGGGCUUUGUAUAGCAAGGACAUCAGAAGAACAGCAUCGUCAGAAGGGAGGGUUACGGCACUAAAGAACCUUCAUGAAGCUAGGUCUCCAGAUUAAUCUACUGUCAGAUACUCGAGUCUUCAAGGUGAGAACAAGAGUUUGAGUGGAGAGGACCUGGUGAAAUGGGAGCAAAAGACUUUGACAGGGCUGAAACCUGCAGCAUGCAAUACUGAGAGGUGAAGGCAGCUGGACUUCCUGGGCCCUGGAGUGAUAGGGCAGCAGAAUAUCUACUCUGAACUAAGAGCAUAACAAAGGAGGUGGAAGAGGCGCCAGGAUAGCUCCCAUAUUUGGAGUGUUAUCAUUCAAGUACACACUGGCACCAGGGUCCCUGAGGCUUGCUCAUUGAGGUUGUCAACACUGCAAGAAGGAGUUUUUGUGGCAGAACAGACAUUGAUUGGAGAUGCUGGCAAGGCAGGGUGAAGCCAAGAGACCAGAAGAUGAUGGUCAUUGAAAAGAGAUUUUGUUACAGUUCAAGAGAAGCAAGCACAACAUGCCAUGCCUUCAUCUUCUGCUAUGAUUGAACAAGAGAUUAGGACGCAGACAACACAGACUUAAGAGGUGAUCAUGUGAGGAUACAGCAAUAAGAUGACCAUCUAUAAGCCAAAGAUAGGCCUCAGAAUGAAAUCAACCCUGUUGACACCUGAAUCUCCAGAACUGUGAGAAAUAAAUUUUCA